GGGCUUAAUGUCAGCAAGAGGGGUGAAUGCUUGAACAGCUGCCAUUUUCUUAGAGAAAUAGUGAAGUGGUAAUGGUAAAGCUUUGAAAGGUGAAUUAUUUCUACUGCAGUUUACUAUAUUUAUAGUAAUCGUAUGGAGCCUUUAGUUUUAUUAGGUUUUAGAGAAUAUAGGCCGUAUAAGAUAAUUUGGGACAGGAUCUUAAAGGUAUAUGCUUGAUUUAGGGAGAUUUACUUGUUUGGUAUAUCAAUAUCGAACUGAAUAUGGAUAUUGAAGAGAUUGUGUGAUUUUUAAUACCAACUAAUAAGGGAUAUAUAAUAAGUUAUAAUUCUAUAUCUUUCAAUAUAGAGAAAUACAAAUGAUUGAGUUUUGCAUUUAAAGAAAUAUUUUAAAAUUUGCAUUGAUAGUUUGUGUUGAUAUGGAAAGAUCUUUGCGAGAUUUGUGUCUAAUUAUCCAAUAAGUUACAAUACAGUAUCUUUCAAAUUAAUAUAGGGAAAUAGGAAUUAAUUAGUUUUGCAUUUAAUUUGCCGUCUACAUAUAUAUUUUUACAUUGGAAUGAAUUGUUUGCGGUGAUAUGGUAAGAUUUUUGCGAGAUUUGAGUGUAAUUAAUCAAAAAAUUAAUUGCUAACUUAUUCCCGAUUUAGAAUAAGUAAAGAAUAUGCUUGAUUUGUUAUUAUAUGGAAUCAAAAUAAAUACGUUUUAUUUUAGGAAGCAUAAAUUAUGAGAUUUGUUUGUUAAGGCAAUAUACAGAGUAGUAUAAUUGAUCCGGAAUAAUAGUUAUGGUAUUGUUUGAUUUGUGUAGCUAAUGUUUUUAUUUGGUAUUAUCUACUGCAGAUUCGAAAUGUUGAAGUAGAAGAGAUUAAGGAUGGGCCUAAUUUUAUUUAAGCCCAAUAGGUAUUUUAACAGAUAUAUUCGGGUCAGAGUUGUUUCAGAAGAAAGGACCCGACUUUAAGAUCCGGGAUCCGCGUCCCA
rnacentral:lncRNA from 1 species